rnacentral:lncRNA from 1 species
AUUCCGCGCUUUGAUAAUACACUGAUGUAUAUAAACUCAAAGAACUGAAAGGCUCUCACAAGCGGUUGAACGUNGUNUGAUGCAACUGAAGGAUAUUUUGCAACUGGUAAGAAUAAACAACGUAGGCUCGCGGAUUAUUCCGCGCUUGGUGAUAGCUGACAGUCGCGGCUCGCGUAUUAUUCCGCGCUUGGUGAUAGCUGACAGUCGCAGCUCGCGGAUUAUUCUGCACUUGGUGAUAGUCGACUGUCGCGACCCGCGGAUUAUUCCGCGCAUUGAUGCAAAUGGGUUAAUUAUGAAGCUUCGUUGUUUUAAUCACGAAGCCUUAAUUUUUUUACAAAUGUGAAUUGUAAUUGAAUUUUUUGUUUAUGAUGGUGAAAUAUUGUGUUGUGAUGGAUUGCAUCAACAGUAAAGAAAAGAAGAAAAAUAAUAAGUUGAAACUGCAGAAAACUUCUCUUUUUACCGUACCCACAACAACUUAUAUUAUAAGUCAAUGGAGUGAUAUAUUGAAGCAAAAUUGGGACUUC